AACCGCCCAUUGCGGACCCGCAUGAUGGGUGGUGUGGGGGCUGGAGGUUAGAGACCUCCGGCUACCCGAU
rnacentral:misc_RNA from 1 species